CCGCCGCUGCUGCCGCCGGGCGCCGCCGCGGGGUCGGGCGCAGGCUCUGCCCCGGCCGCGCCCCCGCAGCCCCAUGGAGCGGCCCCGCUGCCCGCGCUGAAGGCAUCCCCGACCCGUCCGCAGCGGCAGCCGGCGGAGGGAAGAGGUCACGGAGUUGAUGCGGAGCUGCUGGGAGUUGGGAUCUGCCCGGAGCACAAUGCCCUGCCCUGUCCCUGGCCUUGGGAAGCUGUGAGCUGGCUCAUGUCCAUAAGGAGGAAGGAUGGCUCAUGGAAUUCCUUCACAAGGCAAAGUUACCAUAACGGUGGAUGAGUACAGCUCCAACCCAACGCAGGCGUUCACGCACUACAACAUCAACCAGAGCCGCUUCCAGCCUCCCCACGUGCACAUGGUCGACCCCAUCCCAUAUGACACUCCAAAGCCAGCGGGCCACACACGCUUUGUCUGCGUCUCAGACACGCACUCCAGAACAGAUGGCAUCCAGAUGCCCUACGGGGACAUCCUGCUCCACACGGGCGACUUCACCGAGCUGGGACUGCCCUCCGAGGUUAAGAAGUUUAAUGACUGGUUAGGAAACCUACCAUAUGAAUAUAAAAUAGUGAUUGCUGGGAAUCAUGAACUGACAUUUGAUAAGGAAUUCAUGGCAGACCUUGUUAAACAAGAUUACUACCGCUUUCCCUCUGUGUCCAAAUUGAAACCAGAGGACUUUGACAAUGUUCAGUCACUCCUGACAAAUAGUAUUUACUUACAAGAUUCAGAGGUAACAGUUAAAGGAUUCCGAAUAUAUGGUGCCCCGUGGACACCAUGGUUUAAUGGAUGGGGCUUUAAUCUACCCAGAGGUCAGUCUUUGCUAGACAAGUGGAACCUUAUUCCUGAGGGAAUUGAUAUACUAAUGACACAUGGACCUCCCCUUGGUUUUCGAGACUGGGUUCCCAAGGAGCUGCAGAGAGUGGGCUGUGUGGAGCUGCUGAACACAGUGCAGAGGAGAGUCAGGCCCAAACUGCAUGUCUUUGGUGGGAUUCAUGAAGGAGCUAUGGCUGCAAAAAUCUGCUUUCAGACAUGAGAAAAUAAGGUGCAGUUUGCAUGAAUCUGCAUCCUCAGUAACAACAACACCUGGACAGAGCAUCCCCAUUUACCUUACCAGAAGGAGGAAGUCCCACAGCCUCAGAUGCUCUGCAGUGCCAUGAAUUUUCAGGACAGAGCAGUCCUCAAGCCCAAGAGCAGGGCAAUGGAAGAAAUCCUGGAAGUGUGUCUAGUAGGUUUUUUGGCAGCUGGGAAAAAUGACAGAUUUCAAGGGGUUUCCACAAAGCCUACUCCCUCCUCCAAGCACACAUCAAACAAGAGCAUCUUUCCUGAGGGGCACAAGUGCUCUCAGGAUGGCCCUCCUGAGCUCAGUGCAGCCUGCAAGGACCCUGCCCCAGUGACAAUGGCCAAAAGGAGCUGAAAUGUGCCCAGCACACGAGAACUAUCUCUGCAUACGAGGGCAGUGAGUUUCAUUACAUUAGUUUUCAUUUUCCUGCCUUCUGCUUGGUGCUCUGGCUAGCCCAGCAUCCUUCUCAGCCCCCAGCAUCUUUCCUCCUCUGGGGAACUGCACAGGUUCCCCCUGCCAGCACCCAGAACCCCACAGGAUUUCCUUCCCUGAGACAGGCAGGAAAGAGAACAGUAUAAAAAUAAAGAGUGCAAACAGCAGCAAUAUACUCUACAGGUGCUUGCAUGCACAGCUUUCCUCCUGGAUACAAACAAACGUGAAAGAAAAUCAGAAUUGCAGCAAUGAUCACCUCAGCUAGGCAGUUUCCCAAGUCCUUCCUCACCCUCUAGAAAGUUGCUGUGCUCCUGCAAUGAUCAGUGGAUGUUAUUUUCUUAUAGUUUGUCCAAUACAAUUCAGCCCUGGUGGACUUGCAGCUCAUCCCUGCUGUAAUAGGUCACCAUAUGCUUCACAUCUGGCCCUACAAAAGAAGCCAUAUCACACACAUGAUGACAACUGGUUUAGGGCACAGUCUCCAGAGACUGAUAACUGUGGCCAGCAGUCUUGACAAUUUAGCAGUUUCAUUAAUCAGCAUUAAAAUCUCAUUUUACUAUUACAGGCAUAAUUAUUACACAUCCAAAUGCUGACUAAAAUAAGUCAUUUCACGAGUUUUGUUAUUUAGCUAGCUGAUAUAGGCAAUUUCUUUUUCUAAGAUGCAGGCAUUUAGUAAAAAGCCAACAGCAAGUCCACUGCAGUGUCUCAUUAGAAAUUGCUGGACCAAACUGAUCUCAGCAGUGAUGAUAGAGCAGAAGUGUAUUUAGUCAGAAAACAAGCAAAGGUUGUAGACUAUAUAUAUGUUUUUUUCAGAAUUCAGACCUUUCAUUUGUCACAGGAGAAAGUGCUGCUUUAAAAUUGCCUGCAAUAUCUGAAUAAUAGCUGUCAGGUGAUUAUUUCAGUUUACAUUUGGGAUCUGACUCUGGCUUCUCUUGGUGAGGGGGAGGGAAAAGAAAAAGAAGCCAGUUUCCAGACAGCUGUAUGCAGGGAAAUUAUGACUCCUCUUGCCCCACACAACACAUCCUGGAACUCACUGAUAUUUAAAGUUUGGAACACUUAUUUUCUAUAUGUUUGCUACAGGGGAUUGAAAUUUGAUGUGAAUUCUUUUCUUGAAACACUUGAAGUUUUCCUAAGAGGAUAAAACACAGGAACCUGGGUUAUUUGCCAGAUUAAGCUUUAGGAAUUUUCUACAAAUUCAUUUCUGUGUACAAUUCCAUGUUUGGGGUUCUUCUGCAAUGUCCUGACAGCCUUUUCCUAACAGCCCAUCCUCUAAAACAUGAGCCAGGGGAGGCUGUGCCACGUGGGCAGGCACAUUCUAACUUUCAGUAGCUCAUACUGUGAGACAGCUGCCUGCAGAAAGUCAGCCUGGAAAACUGAGGAAAAUGUCUUGAAAAAAGAGCCGGGGAAAAAAAUAAUUUGCUUCUCUUCUUCAUUACUCAUCAAAUCAAAAUCCAUCCUGUGUGUGCCACUGCUGUGUGGGUUGGAAAAGGGAAACUGCAUUCUCUCCAAGUCAAACACUUUCUUUUUGAAAAAGGAAGGGUUACUUUCUAUUGAAUUUACUGAAAAUUUGCACCCCAGAUUCAUUGUAGCAGCAGGGUACAUCCACCUCUUUAAACUCCUGCAGGACCAGGGCUGAUUUGCCAUGAUGAUUACUUUGCAGGUGGUUUGCUAGGACAGGAAAUGUUCUAGAAUGCUCUGGAACUGCAGAUCUGCCUCUGCUCUGAGUCCUGUGGGCACCUCUUCCAGAACACAGAAUUCCUACAGCACUUGCAGCUGGAAGAUACAAGGGGGCAGAGAAUUGUUUCUCCCAAGGACCAAAUGCAUUUUUGAUGAAUGAACAGCUUUUAGGUCCUAUUUAUUGCCAGGUAUGAUGAACCCAUUUUAAAUUUAUUUUGUUACAGCUACAAAGCAAGGAAGGACAUUUAUCUCAGGCACUGCAAUUAAAUUUGGUUUUCCCUAAAUCCCACCUUUCAGUGAGGUAGCUCUUGGGGUAAGUGAGCAGGGAUGCUAGCCUGGAGCUGUCCCAUGAGGUUCCCUUCAAGGCCACCUGCUGUCUGUCCUGGCUGACUCCCUGCCAGGUUGGGCACUGGAAAUCCUUUGAAAACUCUCAUUUUUUCCCAGCUGCCAAGAACUGUGGUGCUCUUCAAGGAAGAUACAGGUGAUGUACUGGAUUCCUCACACGACCAGCUCUCCAGAGCUGGAAUUUAUUUUAAGCUUUGCUUAUUUUUAGGGCGGUUCUUGCUGUUGUUGUCAGGCCCAUGCUAAAGCAAUUACUGUCUGGGCGGGUCACCUGGAGUUCAGUGUCACUGAGAAGCUUGGAGCAGCAGAGAAUGGCAUGAACUGCUCAGCAGAGGGGCUGACACAGACUCCCUCCAUUAAAGAAACACAGCAGCUCCCUCCCUGCUUUAUUUUUUUUUUCAAGUGAGAAGCAGGUUUUUUCUUUCAUGGCAUCAAGCCAUGCUGCAAAAAAACCCCUACCCUGCUCCAAGCAGCCAACUGCCCCCCAAAAUGCAAACCCUGGCAUGUGCUGGGGGCAGCUCCAGCUUCUUCUGCCUGGCUCCUCAGGGGGAUGGAAGCAGCCAAGGCAUCCCUGGGUGUCAGAGCAAUCCACCCAGAUGAGAUGUGCUUUGACACACAGUCCAAAAGGGAUGGGCAGAGAUGUGACAAAGAGCAAAUGAGAGCCAAACAGGGAAUAAACAUGGCCAUCCAUCCAAGGGAACUCCUCCAAUGUGCUCUCCCCCCCUCCUGGAUCAGCUGCUCCUUCCCUGUCACUGCUGCAGGAGAGUGAGAGGAAUAGCAGAUUUGUCUUUACAAAAAAGCUGUGGGUCUGCUGGUAGAUAAAACCAGCACUGGGAGAUAAAAGAAAAAAUGGGAAGGAUUCCACUGAUUGAUAAAUGGAAAAAGAUAUUUGCUUUUACAAAUAAACUUUUGGUUUGCUGAUAAAUGAAAUGAGACUUUGAAAGAUGAAAGAAACAAUGGGGAAGAAAAACCUCUAAAUUCUGUAAGAAUUAAAAAUUAAAAGGGAGGGUUAUACAUUAGAAGGAAAUUUUUGGUAUCAGGUGUAUCAGGAAGUUUGUAUCUUUCAAGUACUUCAGCUAAUGGGGAAAGAGAGAAGGGAAAUGUGGCCAGGAAAUUGGGAUAAAAAGGGAGGCUGUGUCCUUCAAAAAUUUGAGAGAUUCCAGGGGAAUGCCCCAUGGCCUCUCCCUUUAUUCAAAUAAAGUAAAAGGACUCCUCUGUCUCCUUUUUAGACAUACACCUCUGAUGUUCGUAAAUUAAAUUUCCUAACAAGAGGGAACCUCUGCUGCCUUCAUGCAGCUUCAGUUCCAUUUGCAUGUUUGCUAACUUUCCUCCAGCAAGACAACUUUUACAUUUAGAUGGCUUAAGAGGCUGAUUUUUCUGCUCAGUCCCUUGGGUGGAGAACCACUGUGUAAUGCAAGGCAUUCCAUGAGUGAUCCAGGCUUCAGAGCACCUUCUGUUCCCUCUCUGCUCAAGUCAAAAACACGCUGCUGGUUUCAGUUUGCUGGGUUUUGUGUCUCCACUUACAUUUUCUUCAGAGGAGAGAAAUGAAAUGUUGGGCAUUAAAGGGGAAAGAUACUGGAUUUGUGUGCAAAGGUAAGAACAGAAAUCUGACCUGUGGUGCUGUUCACAGGGGUCCCAGGACGAGGGAAGAGACAAGGAUCUGACUCCAUGUUUCAGAAGGCUGAUUUAUUAUUUUAUUAUAUAUAUUAUAUUAAAACUAUACUAAAAGAAUAGAAGAAGGGAUUUCAUCAGAAGGCUUGCAAGGAAAGGAAUGGAAUGAUAAUAAAAUCUUGUGACUGACCAGAGAGUCCGAGACAGCUGGACUGCGAUUGGCCAUUAAUUAGAAAUAACCACAAGAGACCAAUCCCAGAUCCACCUGUUGCAUUCCACAGCAGCAGAUAAUCAUUGUUUACAUUUUGUUCCUGAGGCCUCUCAGCUUCUGAAGAGAAGAAAUCCUAAGGAAAGGAUUUUUCAUAAAAUGUGUCUGUGACACUAACCCUCUAGACUGAUCUUUGAUAUUCAUAAAUGAAAUGUUGGGCAUUAAAGGGGAAAGAUCCUGGAUUUGUGUGCAAAGGUAAGAACAGAAAUCCAACCCUCUAGACUGAUCUUUGAUAUUCAUAACAUUUAGACUUGGGUAGCUCUACUGCCUGGACCUGUCCUGUCAUGGUUUAAGCCCAGCCUGCAGCUGUUCCUGCACCUGAAAGCUCUGAGAGCAAAAGAGAAAGCUGCACUGGUGAGGGGUGGGCUGCACACACUAGGGAUGCUGGGCUGGCUGCUCACAGGAACCUCAAGGACCAUUCCAGGAGGCUGUGUCAGAGCCCUCUCCACCCCAGGGGGACUGCCCAGCCCGGGUGAGUGCUGCUGGGAAAGCCACAGGCAUUGCUUUUGUCCUUGCCACAGAAAAGCAGCACUCUUGUGGGGCUGUCCCAAAAUGUGUUCUAUUUUAACAGCUGUGCUGCAGAGAAAAGUAGGAUGGGUGUAGCUGUUGUUUGAGGAGGUGAGGAAAGUAAAGGGGAAAAAAAAAAAAUCAGAAAAUUGCAUUCUCUUUUUUUGCCUUUUCACUUUUUGGGGGGCUGAGGAGUUUCACUGCUCCAUUUCUAGCAGCUACAAGUGGAGGGCUCCUUUACACCUGGGUAUUUCUAGAUGUGGCUAUAAAUGCACCACAUCUUGUUUUCACUUUUUUUGUGUGUGUGUACACGCAGCACAAAUGCAAACCGGCUGGUGUUGUGUGCAUUGACAAACAUGCUCAGGUUCUGUGGGAUACCCACAAACACACAUAUACACACCCACACACCUUGAGGAUGGUUUCAUUGUAGCCAGCCACAAGGGUUUUUAUGACAGAACCCGAGAAGUUGCAAGAGAUUCAUUUUUCAGCCUCUCUGUCACUUACGAAAACACCUGCUCACAAAUAAAAGUGUUUACUAACUCACAGUGGUGAUUACAGGGACAGACCUCUUAGACAUGACAAAAAUGCUGCACUUUUCAUCACAAAUGGAUUUAUUAAGUCCUGUGCAAGGGCAAAUGAGCAGGGAGAGCUCUGAUCCUCUACCCAGGAGAGCCGAAAGUUCUGCCUGUUACCCUCCAAACUGCAGGUGAGCUGCUACUGCUAUUGGGUUUUAUUUGGUCAGUGAGAACAGAACCAAAACAAGAGUUUUGAUACCACUUUUGGUGGAAAUAGAAUACAUUUUGUUCUCUGAUCAUUAUCAUAUUUAAUAAUGAGAAGUACACCUAAUAUUUAGUAAUAUAUAUAAUAAAUAUAUUUAAUAAUGAUAACUGUAUCAGGUAAGCACAGCAGCAUUAAAAUAAUUCCCUGAUGAAGAGAGGCCUUCAGGAAAGGGCCAGGCUUUAUUGUCUGUGAGGGUGCUGUCAGCAUAAAAAAUUAUCAUGAACUUCAACUUCAAGCAAUCAAACUUCAUCAUAUUGAAGGAGCCCCAUUAAAUGCUCAGAUUGUUCUUCAUUUGAUCAAUUCCUGAGGGAAGGAGAGGCUGCAGAAAUCAAUAGGGCAUGGCUGAGGAAGCCAGAGUGUCUUGGUGGUGUCUGCCAAAGGGAGUGGAGCCACCUAAGGAGGGAGCUUGUGUCACCCUGCUGGGACACCAAGUGCCCAGGAGCCCUGGAAGGGCUUGGAGCAGACAAGGAGUUCCAAGGACAGCUGGGUUUGGGGAAAUCAGCCUCAAAACUCUUUCUGCUACAGCUCCUCCCUUGGGUUUCACUGCUCCCCAGCCAUGGGGAUGCUGGUCCAGCACAUCCCUCACUCAGGGCAGCUGGGCUGCUCACUGCUGCCUCAGCUCUGCCUUAGAGACACCCAGGGAGUGAGCCAGCCUUCAGAGCACCUUCUGCUCCCUCUCUGUCUGUAGCUGCUCAAGCCAAAACAUUGCUGGUCUCAGUUUGCUGGGUUUUGUGUCUCCACUCACAUUUUCUUCAGAGGAGAGAAAUGAAAUGUUGGGCAUUAAAGGGGAAAGAUACUGGAUUUGUGUGCAAAGGUAAGAACAGAAAUCUAACUCUCUAGGUUGAUCUUUGAUAUUCAUAACAUUUGGACUUGAGUAGCUCUACUGCCUGGACCUGUCCUGGCAUGGUUUAAGCCCAGCCAGCAGCUGAGCCCAGCAGCUGCUGUGUCCUGGGGUGACUUUUUAGUGCUCUUUAAUAUUGUUCCCUUUUUUGUGCUGGUGAAUGCUUUGCCUGUUAAAUAAAGUUUUUUCCCCUUUUCUCCAAGGAAAUUCUUAGCUUUCUAGAGCAAAUUCUAAACCCCUUUAGAGGUUUUCUCCCAAAUUUGCCCUAAACCAGGACAUACACACUCCCUCCCUCCAGAUGGGAAUGAAGGAGAGAAUGGGAAGGGUGGAGGUGAGACAGUCCUGGACUGAGGUAAAGACAGUUUAACAGGGAAAGCAAAAGCCAUAGGUGCAAGCCAAGCAAAGCCAGGGGGUCAUUCCCCACUGCCAGGGCAGGCAGGUGCUCAGCACCCCCAGGAGAGCAAGGCUCCAUCACAUGGAGGGUUACUUGGGAAGAAAAACCCCAUCACCCCUUCCCUCUUUCUUCCCCCAGCUCUCCAUGGGAGUGUGAUGGUCUGGAACAUCCCUGGGGUCAGCUUUCCUGUCUGUGUCCCCUCCCAACUCCCCAAAAAGGGCCUUGUCACCCUAAGUGCUGCUCAGCAGGAAGGAAAGCAUCUCUGUAUGACCAACUUUGUUUCCAAAACACAAUCCCAUACCAGCUCCCAUGGAGGAAAUUAACUCUAUCCCAAAAACCAUCCCAUCCUUAAAUCAGCCCCUUUCACCCUCAGCUUCUGUUCCACUCCUGCAACAACAGAGAGCCCAGAAAAGUUAAAACAAUUGGCACAAAUUUUUUGUCCAAACUGCUUUCAUGUCUCAUGAUUUAAAAAUCACCCUGUCACUUUGGAGUUAUUCUGUUAAUCAAGUUCUCGCAUUGAAAUAUUUCUAAAUGAAAAGAAAAAGUUUGUGGAGAGCAGAUUUUUUUUUCCCCUCAUAUUCUGAUCACAGAACUGGGGGAAAAAACUUAACUUGAAAAGCACACUGAAAAAUAAAUAAGGACAAGGCCAUUUACAAAGGAAAAUGUCUUUUCAUUUGAAAGCUCUCUGUCCCUCCCCAUUUACAAGGGUGAACCUUGCACUGAGCUUUCUGGUUCCAAUUGUUUCACCAAAAGGAGACCAUGACAUGCUUCUUCUGAGUCCUGCCUCAGAAAACUGAACGUGUUUUAUGUCAGAAUUGCUGCAGAGGACAUAGAUAAAGCUUUGCAAACAGAUUUUGUGGCUUUUCCCUUUCUGAUUGCUGGUUGAAUGUUGGGAAACUCGACCUGAUUCAGAGCAGGGAUAACAUGCCCUACUCUUUCCAACUGGGCUUCAGGGCACAAAGAAGCCUUGCUGCAGUCCUUGGAGGUAAAGAAAGCAGGCUUUCAGACCCUGUUAGCCUUUCCACCCCCCAGCAGGUUCAGAGUGCAGCCUUAAACCUGCAGAGAGAGCAUGCCCAGCUUCCCCUGGCCUUUCCAAAACAAACCAGCACAGUUCCCUGCUUGCUGCUCCCACCUUUUGGUGCUGGCCUGUGACAAUUGUGCAUGCCUGCUGAUUGUUGGCACUCCCAAAGCCUGUCAUCCAGGGCAAUAAUGUUUGAGAUGAGGAGGUUCUGCCUAUGAGGGGGUUCUGCAUGUUUGUGCUGCUCUCCAGAAAGCUGAUCUCCCAGCAGAGCAGCUGCUUUAUGGCACCCUUCUCGUUGUGUGGGGAAGCCACAGGGGCCACCGGGAAGGCAGAAGGCAGGCCCUGGCCACCAGCUGGGAAUUUCAGCUGGCCCCAGGCUCCACCCUGCACCUUGCCCAGCAAAGCACUGGCAUCAAUGCCAGCAUCCUUCCACGUCCAGAGCCCACUUCUGUCCCCACUCCCCUUCCUGCUGGCUUGGAUUGAGCUUUGACAUCCUCUGGAUUUGCUGGCCAUGGUGUCCAUGCCCAGGGUGUGCAAGUGUGCAGCUGAAACCUCCUCCUCCUCCUUCUCCUCCUCCUCCCGGUCCCUGGCACUACCCCGUGUUCUCGGGUUAACCCUCACUCUGCCUCGUGCCUGCGGCUCCUUCUCGGGUUUUGUGUUGCUGAAAUGGCUCCCAAGGUAUUAAAGAAUCUUUUUUCCCAGCACUGUGAGGAAAAGUCAAGAUUCCUCAGCUCUGGUUUUCAGGGUUGUUUAUUUUCUCUUAUCUGUUCCAUUCUUUCUCUGACCUGCUGAGGUCUGUCUGGCAGGUUGGUUUAUGGCACAGUCCCUGCCCUUGGGGUGCUGUUAGCUUUUUAUACUAAGAACUACCUGUACUUUAUUUACAAUAAUUUUCCAAUCCCUAUCACCUAUGUUAGACAGUCUGUCUCUGCUCUAAGCCAAUCCAGAAGUGCCACCAUCACAGCAGGAGAUGGAGGAAAAAAAAGGCAGGACAUGCCCAGAUUCCUCCAUCUUGCCUCUUGAAUCCCCAUUCUAAAAACCCCAAAAUUCUACUUUUUCACCCUGUGACAAAUUCACUAUCAUUCUAUUCAAACCCUUGUGGCUUGUAAAUCCUCACACAAAGUUGGUAGUUGUUUCCAUGGGCUAAAAUCAAAGGCACAGCUGUUUUUGUCUCUAUGCCAAGGUCUCUGUGCCCCCUGCCAGGGUCUCAAGUCCUCCAGGGCAGCCAGAGGAAUGUCCUGGGUUCUGACAGGCUGCCUAGGAAGUGGUGUCAAUAAUACAGAAAAGUUUAAAAAAUUGUUUAAAAAAGCUUAACUAAUAAUACAGAAAAGCUUAACUGGUGCUGAGCUGGGCUCACAUGGAACCAGGGCCUUCCCUCCUCUUGGCCCAGCCAGGGGCUCGGGGGGCACGAGGUGCUGGGAGGGACAGAGCCAGGACAGCUGACCCCAGCUCACCCAGGGGACAUCCCAGGCCACGUGGCCUCAUGCUCAGCAGGUAAAGCUGGGCGAGAAGGAGGAGAGGAUAGAUUCAGUGCCAGCAUUUGUGUCCCCAAGAUGCCAUUAUGGGAGCUGGACCCUGGGCAUUACUGAGCUCCUGCCUGCCAUGGGGAGCUGGGGAGGGAAUUCCUGCUUUGCUUUGCUUGCGCAUGUGGCUUUUGCUUUCUCUGUUAAAGUGUCUUUACCUCUGUCUUUACCUGGAAAACUCUUUACCAGGGUUCUUCUCACUUCCACCCUUGCCAUUCUCUCCCCCAUCCCUCCAGGGGGGAAUAAGUGAGUGGCUGUGUGGGGCUUUGCUGCCAGCUGGGGUUAAACCUUGACACCUGGGGAAAAAUGUUAAAUAUCUGUGGCAGGAAGUACUCAAAUAAAACUGCCAGCCAUUCAUCACAGAGAAUUUAUGGAUGUCUCCCCCUUCACAUCUUAAACCUUGCAUUCACUGAAGGCCACAAGAUUCAGAUAUUAUUGUUGUGUAUCUUACACAAACAGGGACUCAACUAACCUGAGGUCAGGGAGUAGGGGAGCAUGGACAGGCUGUCACCAUGUCCUCCUCCCUUUUUUUUCCCUCUGGAAGUAUCCUAGAUGCAUUUUAAUAAGUAGGAGCUGUCAGUAUAACAUCUUGCCUUUCUCACAUCCUAUGUGGGAACAUUAAAAUAACAUUAAUAAUAAGCUAUAAUUGAUUUUAUAUUAGUUAUAUUAGUAAUAAUAAAUUAUUGUUUAAUUAAUAAUUAGAAUAACAUUACAAAAAGCAUUUCAUUUUUGAUCCAAAGAUCUUGGAGUGUUUUUUGAGGGACAGGAGCAGACUGGAGGAACAGGACAAACACAAGUCCUGCACUGUGGAGGGACUGUGCUGGAGUGAGCACAGCUGCUAGAGGAGGUUAUCAGACCCCUGUCCUCAGCAUUUGUCAGGCUGCAUCACAAGUGGUACUGUGAGAUCUGGGCUCCCUCAUGUAAGAAACGAGAAGAAACUCUGCAGGAACUAUUUUAUCUCUUUUAUCACCACCCAGUUCUGCUACAGGAUAAUUAUACAGAAUACUGUCCCCCCUGCAAUGGGGGCAGUACAAAUAGCAUAUCAACCCCAAAAUCCCUGCCCUGCAUUCAAGGCCCUUGGGAUCAGCCUUGCCACAUUUUAUAGCUUCAAAAUUAAGAGUACAGCUGGCAGUUUUCAUCUUUGGGGAUGUCAUUACCUUCAAUUAGCAGAUAACACCACCCCUAAGUGAGAAACUGAGGAGUCUUUGUGACUCACGCAGCAGAGGCAGAAUAAACUGUCCUAAGGUUUGAGAGCAGCUUCAAAAAUCACUUAUUUCCAUCCCAAUUUGUCUUCAAAUUGGCUCCAGAAAGCCAGCACAUCAAAGAUCAAUAUACUUCAGGGAAAGUGUGGGAGGAAGGGAAGAAGAGUGAUGGUAAGAUGAUUCCCAUGUUACUUUGAGGCACAUUAAUAUUCCUUUGGCCACAAAGCACAGAUCACCGGUGAGCUGAGCUCCAAAACAAGGUAGGUUUUGCUGCAAGAUGCACAACACUUGUAUGAGCUAGGAGCCCUGCAGGUAUCUCUAAUGGGUACCAAACAUUUAGUGAGAAAA